rnacentral:rRNA from 1 species
GGUUGCGAUCAUACCAGCACUAAUGCAUAGGAUCCCAUCAGAACUCUGUAGUUAAGCGUGCUUGGACGAGAGUAGUACUAGGAUGGGUGACCCCCUGGAAAGUCCUCGUGUUACAACCC